AUCGCUUCUCGGCCUUUUGGCUAAGAUCAAGUGUAGUAUCUGUUCUUAUCAGUUUAAUAUCUGAUAUGUCCUCUAUACGAGGACUACAUAUUAAGCCGAUUUUUAGCUCUGGGAGAUGAAAAAGGGGCUUGCUCCGUUCACUCCAAGCAUCGACCAGGUAGUGCAGCCCCUCCGGGAGCGGUGCACCCUAU
ensembl:snRNA U2 U2 spliceosomal RNA